UGUCCCCUUCUUCCUCUUCGUCUCACCACAAAUGGUCGGUGGCCACCUCAUCCUCGCAACAGCCUUCGACCAAAGUCAAGCUCUACCAUCCUCUAUUCCUCUCUUCGUUGGGAGAGGAACCCUUCUCCUCUUUUUCUCCGAUCAACGCACAAGAGGGGUGAGGAUGUGAGUCAUCUGGAUCCAAGACGCCAUUCCACUCAUUGCCGGAGUAGUCACCUUGUUCUUCUCCCGAUUGGGAGAAGUACCAGCCAAACACCCACUUCAUCUCCUUCCUCUCUCGAUUGGGAGAGGAGGAGGCCGAUUUCUCGACACCACAGCCACCUCUGCCAAUUGGGAGAGGAGGCGAAGGAUCUCGGAUCUGAGGUUUCUCCCAUCUCCCUUGGAAGCUCAUAGUCGAUCAUCCACUUCAGCCUUCUCCACCUUUCCUCUUCAAAUUCGAAGAGGAGAGUUCUACCACCACAAUCUUGCCGUAUACUCCAGAUUGGGAGUCUCUUCAUCGUCAUCUCCGACUUUUCCGGAUAGCAAACCUUCUCCACAAGUUGAUCAAUCCUGAUCGGGGCGGAUUCUGUUCUUCCAAAGUUUUGGUAGUUCUUAUCUUAUGUUGGUUGUUCAAAUUGGGUGUUAAGUUUCCUCUGCAUUGGAUAUUCCAAUUGCUUGUUGAAUUGUAUUGGCUUAAUCUCCCCUGCUUUAGUUGUGUGCACUUGGUUCAAUUUGAAUCAUGCUUUCAAGUCGUUUGACAAAAUGUUUUAUCCAAUGGUUAUAGUUUAAGUUGAUGGAAGCUAGGAGAAAGUCAGUAAGAUUCUUUUUUUUCAAAGAACAUGGAAGCAAGCUACUCUCUCGUAGAAACUCGUUAUCAAGGUUCCAUUCAAAACAGAUCGAAUUUUAUCUCUGAUACUGUGACAAUGAAUUGAAUUUUAUCUCUAUACGAGAAAGUCAGUGCGAAUUUUAUCUCGUUAUCAAGCCUCCAUUCCUGACUUUGGAAUUUCAAUCUAUGAAUCGGUUCUUUCUAAAUUUUCCUGGGACUAACUGUUUGGUUGUCGAAAUAGCUGGAGGAAUCUUUGGUUAGCUUGCUGCAGAAUCUAGAUGACAUGGAUAUCACAUUCAAAACUCUCAAAGUGGCGCAUUUGUCCCAAAAAUAUUUCUUUUUGAUGAAGUUUACUUCAUUCUCCCAAGACAAUUCCACACCAUCGGAAGGCAUGUGAAUAAUCACUAGAAGCAUCCGUCCAAUAAAGUCCGACAACUGGUGAAGCAACUUGUUAGGAAGUGGAAAGAUCUUGUGGACGGGUGGGCAAAAUCCAAUUCCUCAAAGAACACUCCUUCGCCAUCAAUCAUCUAUUCCAGAGUUGAAGCUGUUGAGCUCAAACAAUUGUGGCAAAAAAAAGCGAAUACGCUCGCACCCAGCGCCCCCGCCAAUCCGUCCUAAGGUCAACACGGAGGAGAUAAAUCACGGACGGCUACUUGUAGCACAGAAUGGUGCUACUUUUCUUCCUCAUUUCUUCUCCUUGUUUUGCUUUGAUGUCAAAUGUUUUUUGUUGAUUAAAUUGGUUGGUAGCCAAAAAGCAACAAAUGAUUCAGGCGAUGAGCAUCCAUGAGAUACCGAAGCCCAAGAAUUCCUUCGUUCGAAAAGGCGUCUUCCAUGAGAAACACCGCGGAGGAUCACUGUAACACACUGCAACUUCUAGCCGUGUGGUUGUUGUAGACUUUUUCUUAUU